rnacentral:tRNA from 1 species
AAGGCUCUGACAGCCGGGCGCAGCGUUCGGGACGCUGGGGUCGCUGGUUCAAAUCCAGUCGUCCCGACCA